GGGGGUAUAGCUCAAGUGCUAGAGCACAUGUUUGGCAUGCAUGAGGUCCUGAGUUCAAUUUCCAGUACCUCCU
rnacentral:tRNA from 1 species